rnacentral:ncRNA from 1 species
UACCUGGUUGAUCCUGCCAGUAGUCAUAUGCUUGUCUCAAAGAUUAAGCCAUGCAUGUGCAAGUAUGAACAAAUUUGAAAUGUGAAACUGCGAAUGGCUCAUUAAAUCAGUUAUAGUUUGUUUGAUGGUACGUGCUACUCGGAUAAUCGUAGUAAUUCUAGAGCUAAUACGUGCAACAAACCCCGACUUCUGGGAGGGGCGCAUUUAUUAGAUAAAAGGCUGACGCGGGCUCUGCUCGCUGAUCCGAUGAUUCAUGAUAACUCGACGGAUCGCACGGCCUUUGUGCCAGCGACGCAUCAUUCAAAUAUCUGCCCUAUCAACUUUCGAUGGUAGGAUAGGGGCCUACCAUGGUGGUGACGGGUGACGGAGAUUUAGGGUUCGAUUCCGGAGAGGGAGCCUAAGAAACGGCUACCACAUCCGAGGAAGGCAGCAGGCACGCAAAUUACCCAAUCCUGACACGGGGAGGUAGUGACAAUAAAUAACAAUACCGGGCGCAUUAGUGUCUGGUAAUUGGAAUGAGUACAAUCUAAAUCCCUUAACGAGGAACCAU